GAAGCAGGCAAGAUGAUCGUUUCAGCGCAAUCGUUUUUAUUUUUUCGAUUUUCGCUGGAGAGGAAAGUCCGGGCUCCACAGGGCACAGUGCUCCGUAACACGGAGUGGGAGUGAUCUCAAGGAAAGUGCCACAGAAAAUAUACCGCCAUAUGAGAUAAAGAGAUGCAUCCCUCACAUGGUAAGGGUGAAAAGGUGGGGCCGUACCUAUACGGCUUAAUGUAAGAGCCCACCACUUCCCGGGUGAUCGGGAAGGUAUGGCAAACCCCACUGGGAGAAAGGCUAAAUUGUGAGGUACAAGCGGCCCGUUUCAUGGCCUCCGGGUAAGCCGAUUGAUCUUAAUGGCAACAUUAAGGCAAGAUAAAUGAUCGUCUAAAACAGAACCCGGCUUAUUGCCUGCUUCCCUU
rnacentral:RNase_P_RNA from 1 species